rnacentral:rRNA from 1 species
CCCAAUUCUAACAGCAUAAGAGAGGUAGUGACAAGAAAUAACAGUACAAGGCAGUUAAAAUGCUUUGUAAUUGGAAUGAUAGAAAUUUAAACACUUUUUAAAGUAUCAAUUGGAGGGCAAGUCUGGUGCCAGCAGCCGCGGUAAUUCCAGCUCCAAUAGCGUAUAUUAAAAUUGUUGCAGUUAAAAAGCUCGUAGUUGAAUUUCUGCUAAAAAUAACCGGUCUGCUUUUA